AUUGAACGCUGGCGGCAUGCCUUACACAUGCAAGUCGAACGGCAGCACGGGAGCAAUCCUGGUGGCGAGUGGCGAACGGGUGAGUAAAGUAUCGGAACGUGCCCAGUCGUGGGGGAUAACGUAGCGAAAGUUACGCUAAUACCGCAUACGAUCUAUGGAUGAAAGCGGGGGAUCGCAAGACCUCGCGCGAUUGGAGCGGCCGAUAUCAGAUUAGGUAGUUGGUGGGGUAAAGGCGCACCAAGCCGACGAUCUGUAGCUGGUCUGAGAGGACGACCAGCCACACUGGGCCUGAGACACGGCCCAGACUCCUACGGGAGGCAGCAGUGGGGAAUUUUGGACAAUGGGCGAAAGCCUAAUCCAGCCAUGCCGCGUGCAGGAUGAAGGCCUUCGGGUUGUAAACUGCUUUUGUACGGAACGAAAAGGUUUGGCCUAAUAAGCUGAGCUCAUGACGGUACCGUAAGAAUAAGCACCGGCUAACUACGUGCCAGCAGCCGCCGUAA
rnacentral:rRNA from 1 species